GUGCCAGCCGCCGCGGUAAUACGGAGGGUGCAAGCGUUGUUCGGAAUUAUUGGGCGUGUAGGCGGAUUAGAAAGUCGGGCGUGAAAUACCUCGGCUCAACCGAGGAAUUGCGUCCGAAACUUCUUGUCUUGAGUGUGGAAGGGGAGAGUGGAACUCCUGGUGUAGUGGUGAAAUGCGUAGAUAUCCGGAGGAACACCAGUGGCGAAAGCGGCCUCCUGGGCCAUUUCUGACGCUAAGACGCGAAAGCUAG
rnacentral:rRNA from 1 species